ACACUUAUUUGGCAGCACAUAUACUAAAAUUGGAAUGAUACAGAGAAGAUUGGCAUGGCCCCUCAUCAUGACAUGCAAAUUUGCGAAACAUUCCUUAUUUUU
ensembl:snRNA U6 U6 spliceosomal RNA